CAGCCGCCGCGGUAAUCCAGAGGGUGCGAGCGUUAAUCGGAUUUACUGGGCGUAAAGCGUGCGUAGGCGGCUUUUUAAGUCGGAUGUGAAAUCCCUGAGCUUAACUUAGGAAUUGCAUUCGAUACUGGGAAGCUAGAGUAUGGGAGAGGAUGGUAGAAUUCCAGGUGUAGCGGUGAAAUGCGUAGAGAUCUGGAGGAAUACCGAUGGCGAAGGCAGCCAUCUGGCCUAAUACUGACGCUGAGGUACGAAAGCAUGGGGAGCAAACAGGAUUAGAUACCCCAGUAGUCCCUGUCUCUUAUAC
rnacentral:rRNA from 1 species